rnacentral:rRNA from 1 species
AUUGAACGCUGGCGGCAGGCCUAACACAUGCAAGUCGAACGAGUGGCGGACGGGUGAGUAAUGUCUGGGAAACUGCCUGAUGGAGGGGGAUAACCACUGGAAACGGUAGCUAAUACCGCAUACCAUCGGAUGUGCCCAGAUGGGAUUAGGUAGUGGGUGGGGUAACGGCUCACCUAGGCGACGAUCCCUAGCUGGUCUGAGAGGAUGACCAGCCACACUGGAACUGAGACACGGUCCAGACUCCUACGGGAGGCAGCAGUGGGGAAUAUUGGACAAUGGGCGCAAGCCUGAUGCAGCCAGGCCGCGUGUGUGAAGAAGGUCUUCGGAUUGUAAAGCACUUUCAGCGGGGAGGCGUUACCCGCAGAAGAAGCACCGGCUAACUCCGUGCCAGCAGCCGCGGUAAUUC